UGCGUAGGCGGUUUGGUAAGUCUUGUGUGAAAUCUAUGGGCUCAACUCAUAGUCUGCACGAGAAACUGCCGGGCUUGAGUAUGGGAGAGGUGAGUGGAAUUCCUGGUGUAGCGGUGAAAUGCGUAGAUAUCAGGAGGAACACCUGUGGCGAAAGCGGCUCACUGGACCAUAACUGACGCUGAUGCACGAAAGCUAGGGGAGCAAACAGGAUUAGAUACCCUGGUAGUCCUAGCCCUAAACGAUGACUGCUUGGUGUGACGGGUACCCAAUCCCGCCGUGCCGUAGCUAACGCGUUAAGCAGUCCGCCUGGGGAGUACGGUCGCAAGGCUGAA
rnacentral:rRNA from 1 species